rnacentral:rRNA from 1 species
UACGAAGGGGGCUAGCGUUGUUCGGAUUUACUGGGCGUAAAGCGCACGUAGGCGGACUAUUAAGUCAGGGGUGAAAUCCCGGGGCUCAACCCCGGAACUGCCUUUGAUACUGGUAGUCUUGAGUUCGAGAGAGGUGAGUGGAAUUCCGAGUGUAGAGGUGAAAUUCGUAGAUAUCGGGAGGAACACCGGUGGCGAAGGCGGCGACCUGGGUAGAUACUGACGCUGAGGUGCGAAAGCGUGGGGAGCAAACAGG